GACGAACGCUGGCGGCAGGCUUAACACAUGCAAGUCGAACGGGUGUAGCAAUACAUCAGUGGCAGACGGGUGAGUAACACGUGGGAACCUUCCUAGGGGUACGGAACAACUCAGGGAAACUUGAGCUAAUACCGUAUACGUCCGUGAGGAGAAAGAUUUAUCGCCCUUAGACGGGCCCGCGUCGGAUUAGCUAGUUGGUGGGGUAACGGCCUACCAAGGCGACGAUCCGUAGCUGAUCUUAGAGGAUGAUCAGCCACACUGGGACUGAGACACGGCCCAGACUCCUACGGGAGGCAGCAGUGGGGAAUCUUGGACAAUGGGCGCAAGCCUGAUCCAGCCAUGCCGCGUGAGUGAAGAAGGUCUUCGGAUUGUAAAGCUCUUUUACCAGGGACGAUAAUGACGGUACCUGGAGAAUAAG
rnacentral:rRNA from 1 species